UCGCCAUUCGCCUCCCCCCACUGAGGGAGCCACAGCUGUGGCCACAUCAUCGCAAGACACACAUGCAUUGUUGGGGUCACCCGGCCUGCGGCGGGAUCCCCGGCUCUGUCCCCUUAGAUAAGGAGAAGCAGUGAGCAGGCCCAGCCCCCAAACAGCUCAGCCGCUGCCUCCUCCUCCUCUUCCUCCUCCUCCCCACAGCCAUCUUCCCUGCUCCUUAGGCAGGGCUGGGCCUGGGCUGUCCUGGAGGCCACCGAACCGCCUGGGACAAGUAGGUACCACCCCGGAUCUGUGCUUCGGACGUCCUUUGAGGGGGGAUCUCAUUUCACCACUGUUCUGUGUCUGACUUCCGGCCGCCGAGCGGGGGCCCGUGUUCUGCACGAGGCUGACCAGGGGGACGGGGGGAGAGAUGGUUUUGGUACUUACUUUUCUUUUUGUCUCACAACAGGGGGGUUAAGGUUCUCGGGGGCUGAAGGAGCCGCUUGGGGCUGGCAGGCCUGGCUUUAUAGCGGCUGUCACCCUGGACCUGGGCAAAGGCACCGUGGUUAUUAAUAGUGACCGCAGUUUCAUGCCCGUGUAUGGUCAAGGCCACGGCAGCUGCGGGCUCUGCUGGACUCAGGCCUCCUCCCAACACCUGCUCCAGGCCCUGACCUGGAGGCGCCAGGCAGCGCUCGCCCCACCCAACGCGACUUGGCAAUGACUAAGUCUGAGACCCUAGAAUCAAACAAGACUCAUAGUUGGGGGCCCUCCAGAGGGUGCGUCCCCUAGGCAAAGAGCCCUCCAUCCUCAGAGGGGGCUGGGCAGGGUCCUGCUUCUCCUUGAGUCACUUCUGUUCCCUGCUAGCCCUGGAACUCUUCUGCUUUCCUCUUCUCCCCUUCUCCUCUUCUUUUCUUUUUGAGAGAGUCUCACUCUGUUGCCCAGGCUGGAGUGCAGCAGCACAACCGUGGCUCACUGCAACCUCCGCCUCCCGGGUUCAGAAUGAUUCUCCUACCUCAGCCUCCUGAGUAGCUGGGACUUCAGGUGCCCACCACCACGCCUGGCUAAUUUUUUGUAUUUUUAGUAGAGACGGGAUUUCACCCUGUUAGCCAGGUCGGUCUCAAUCUCCUGACCUUGUGAUCCACCCGCCUCGGCCUCCCAAUGUUCUUGGAUUGCAGGCGUGAGCCACCGCACCCGGCCUCUUUUUUUUUAGACGGAGUCUCGCUCUGUCGCCC
rnacentral:lncRNA from 10 species